CACAAAUUCACUCGCCAAAGUUUAAAAGUAAUCAAAUAUCAAUCCCAUAAAUUUUAGUUCUAUUCACACAGUGGAAACCUAUAAUAUUCAUGCUGGAGCUCUGGGUAGACUAAUAAUGAGAACAGUUCUCUCCAUUCACAAUGUCCACUGUGGUUAAUUAACAGAGAAGUGGGACAUAUUACAGAGCCCAGGAUAUUUUUAUAAUUCAUAGGAGCAGUGUUUUCAAUAUCUUGGGAAUUUGGAGAAAUAUCUAAAACACAAGUCAAAUUUUAUUAGAAUAAUUUCUCAAUAUCUUUGAGUUCUCAUGUUCUUUCUCUUGAGGGUUGGAGGAAAGGGGCCCUUGAUUCUUAUUGAUAAAGUAGGAAAGUUUUUUAGCUUUUUCCAGUGUUUAGAAACCUAUGGAAAAAGAAACAAGGGGCCUUGGACAGUUACAGGGAUAAAGCUCUUUGAGUUGUCGUGCUGAUAGUUUUUGCAGUUCAGACAGCUUUAUCAUCAGGGAUAAGGUCACAUGCUUCUCCCACCUUCUGCCUGACUGCUGAGAACUUCCUUCCUCAUGCCCCAAAAUUCUCUUUGUUAAAUAGUGACUGGUUGGCCCCUGACCUUCAGAGCAGUCCUAAAUGUCCACCUCCCAUGUCUGGCCUACCUUAACAACUCCAGUCCACCCUAGUGCCUUUCUUCCUUGAACUGAUGUUAUGAGCUUGCCACACAAGGUCACUUGUGGCUAUAAGCAUUCUAUGUUCUACUUUUCCUUCCCACCCCCUCAAUUACCCUAAAAGUUUCUAAACACUAAAAAGAACUUUAGAAACUUUCCUGGCUACCCAAAUUCCAUGUAAAAGUGGGAUUCAAAUUCUAAAAAUAAUAAUAAAUAAAGUGAACCCUUAAUAUAAUUAAUAAAGUUCUUCCUCAUGGAAUAAUUCUUCUCUCAGAUGGUAAAAAGUGUAGACUAGAAGAUAUCUCUCUGGAUAAGCAGACUACAUGAAAAAUCCCCAACCACCUAGUAAAACAUCAGUGAAUUUUAUCAGAAAUAUUAGAAAUCCAACAAUUCUGGUGCAUUUCCCAGGAUUGUCAAAUUGUGGUGGCUUAGAGUGGCUCCUGAUCUUUGUCACAUCAUGGGUCACAUGGACAAUGACAGUGUUUGCACUGCACCCUGAGGUGAAAUAAGAGGCCUUGCUGCGGGGAGCAGCAGAAGUGGACAAGAAGGCCUGUCCAGCUGGCACUCAUUGCCAGUUCCUCAUCAAGCAGUCUCUCUCGAGGAUAAUCAGUGUGGGGAGAAGAAGCUUGGGGAGGGGUCACAACUCUGUGGAAAGUAUGCCUUCAACCCCAAGUGACUAGGGAGGAAAGGCCCAGUUUAUUGUUAUUUUGUAAUUUUAUUUUACCUAUUAUAUGUUAUUUUUACAUUAUUUAUGGUCGUGGGCUGCACAACGGUUUAUUCAGGACCACAUGACCUGGUCAAUGAGGGAUUAGGAAAAGGACAAAUAGACACAAAAAUAGAGAAAAAUCUGGGGCUUGGAGUUUCAGCCUGCCGCUGGUGGAGGAAGCUGGGCACUAGCCAACUGGGCACAUUCAUUAUGUAGGUUUCAACAUCAGAUGGACUUAUUGUGAGAAAGGUCUUCAAGAUAAACAAAACCAAAGCUGAGGGUAAAACCAGCCCAGUUAGAACUUAUCAGCUUGUGCCCAUAAUCUUCUACCUCCAGGCAGCAGAUGUUUGAACCCCAGAUUAUGAACUAAUAAAAGAUCUUGGCUAGCAAGGAAUUUCCCUUUGAACAGGGCAUCACCAUACAGCCUGCUGCUGCACCAUGAUGUGGCAGAGGGCAUCUAAGGCAAGACAGAGCAAGCAUGCUGCAGGGUGGUUUUCACAGCACCUUUGCUCUAAGAAAUUCCCAAGAUAGGUGUCCCCUCUGUCUCUGGGCAGUUCAUCAUUAGGUUUUUAUUUCUUACAUUCAUUUUUUUAUUUAUAUAUGAAGCAUUAAGUUGUGAAAAUAGAGGAAGACUAUUAUUCCUCCAUUUCAUUGAUUCCUUUCACUAAAUAAAGAAGUGAGACAAAACAAGGACAGAUGAGAAGUGAGAAAGAAGAGUGGUACUAGCACUAGAAAUAGUUCCUGUUUCCCAGACUUCUGGAUUCUCAAUUUCAGGAGACUUUGCUGGUCAUUGCUGCCCCUGGUCCAGACAGAUUUAUAAAAAGAUGCACAAACCUUAACAUGAUGCAGUUCUGUACAUAGAUGAGCUGUUCUUGGUCUAUUUCUGUUGCUAUGGCAAAGUAUCUGUGGCUGGGUAAUUUAUAAAAAAUAGAGUUUUGUUUAGCUUAUGGAUCUAGCAGCUCAGAAGUCCAAGGGAAGGGUGCCAGAGUCUGCUCAGCCUCUGGAGAGCCUCCUGCUGCACCAUGAUGUGACAGAGGGCAUCUAAGGCAAAUCAGAGAGCAAGCAUGCUGCAGAGAACUUGCUUUCAUAACAGAGUCACUCAGUGACAAAUUCAGCUGUGAAUAGUCCACCCAUUCAGGAGGGCUGCCCUUCUGACCCAGUCACUGCUCAAAGACCCCACCUCCAAAUGCCAUUAACAUAUAAACUUGGGGACUAUGCUUCCCAACAAGAAAUUCGGGAUGCAUUCAAACCACAGCAGACACCUCAAGUGGCCUUCACUGUCUUUGCCAAGUAUGAAAGACGAUAGAGAUGUGCACUCCUCUACUUUAGGACUAAUGUUUUAACGUGUCAGAGGGAGGGUGCCACUUUCAUGCCCUCUUCCUCUUAUAGAUCUCCUCAUCAGCUGCUUUGUGACUAUAGCUUUCAGGGAAAACUGGCUGUGCAUUUGCUUUACACUUUAUUCUACAAGCAACUGCAAACCACUGAAAGUCUUGCCUAAAUCUGACUUUCAAAAAAUAACUAACAUAGCAG
rnacentral:lncRNA from 1 species